rnacentral:tRNA from 1 species
CGAACAUAGCUCAGUUGGUAGAGCGGAGAACUGCAGGUUUACUUGCUAGUAUUCUUAAAUCACUGGUUCGAAUCCGGUUGGUUUGG